rnacentral:snRNA from 1 species
GGAUGUUAGGGCAAUGUGGUUGUGACAUCUGUUACCACAGUGAUCACCAGGUUUGAUUUGGCUGAUCUGGCUGGCAAGGUGGUGUCCCCUUCUUCCCUCAAGUCUGCUCCAUGUGUUUCUCUACCGAAGCUUCUUGGUUGGUCGAAGAGGAUGACCUUUCUGGAUAGAGGAGAUUGUUCUUUGGUCAAGAGUGUACCAGUUCUCCCCUGCUAGAACUCCAAAUAAGCUCUUAAAAGUUAAUCUUAAAGUUAGAGCUCUUAAAAAUCCAUCAUGCAUGGGU